AUUUAGGUCAUCCUGUAUAUGUCAUCUGCGGUUUUUCCUGCAUCCACCUUGUGUGAUUGUGUGUGUGCUCGUCAGUCGCGGGGGGAACGGAGCAGCAGCCCCACCCGCUACAGCAAGCCGACAGGUUUGAAACUGCAGCAACUUUCAGCAACUUUUAAAUCAUUUUAGUCUACA